AUUGUUUUCAAUAAUACUCUACCUUGCCACAAGAAAAAAAAAUGAAGUGACAUUUAUAAACAUUUCCGUGUUUUGCAAUUCCGUUUCUUUAAGAAUUUUAAAUGAUUGAUAAUUUAUCGCCCUUUGAAUCGACACGCCAUUUGUAAACAUCGAAGGUCGCGGAGAAAAUGAAACUACCAAAAACAAUUAUUUGAUGAUUUAUUUCGAUUGUAUAAAGAAUGACAGUUAGCGAAUCUCAAGAUCAACCACUGAGGAUUGUUUGGCUUGAUGCAAUGACCUUAAACAGUGAAAAGAUUUUCCAGGAAGGUCUAUACACAACAAGCUGGAUUUUAUGGGGAUUUAGAUGAAAGAACUAUGAAUAUGUGAAUGGGAAUGAAACAGAAGGAAUUUAUAUGUUCUACUGAUCAUCCAGCUGAACUCAUGCCUGUGGAAUAGAGUGCAUGUCACAAAUACUGAUAUGAGCAACUAACUCCAUAUUGCACAAAUAAUGUCAUGUUUCCUGCCCUCAUGACCUGAAAAAGUUAAAAAUUCUAGUUCAAAUUACAAAUGUGUUUCAAGAAAAAGUAAAACUUAGUCAACUGUGAGAAAUAUUGGGUAAAAGUAGUGUUUUGAUGUCAUGACAGCUGUGAAGUUGUUUGAGAAGCACUAUUGUUCUAACAAUACAGAAUUUACAUAAAUUUUUCCAAAACUGCAUGCAUGAAAUACUAAGACAUGUCUGUUGAAUGAAUCCUAGUUGUUUCAAAACUACAACAUGUGUGACAUUAAAGCACAACCUUUGGAGGAAACAUUUUUACAAUAAAAACUGCCUUGCCAGUGUGAGUGUAGGAAGGAUUUUUCCAGAAAUGGCAGAAAACUACCAAUAUAGCAGAAAAAUAUUUGUUACUGGCUGAAUAUAAUAUAUUUUAUUUCAAGAAUUAAUCAUGUUAAUCCAUGGUUAUAAUUGUGUUAAAAGAUAUUUUUACAUGACAUGACCUUUGCAGAAAUAGCUA